UCCGUUGGUGAACCAGCGGAGGGAUCAUUACUGAGUUUACGCUCUACAACCCUUUGUGAACAUACCUACAACUGUUGCUUCGGCGGGUAGGGUCUCCGCGACCCUCCCGGCCUCCCGCCUCCGGGCGGGUCGGCGCCCGCCGGAGGAUAACCAAACUCUGAUUUAACGACGUUUCUUCUGAGUGGUACAAGCAAAUAAUCAAAACUUUUAACAACGGAUCUCUUGGUUCUGGCAUCGAUGAAGAACGCAGCGAAAUGCGAUAAGUAAUGUGAAUUGCAGAAUUCAGUGAAUCAUCGAAUCUUUGAACGCACAUUGCGCCCGCCAGCAUUCUGGCGGGCAUGCCUGUUCGAGCGUCAUUUCAACCCUCAAGCUCUGCUUGGUGUUGGGGCCCUACAGCCGAUGUAGGCCCUCAAAGGUAGUGGCGGACCCUCCCGGAGCCUCCUUUGCGUAGUAACUUUACGUCUCGCACUGGGAUCCGGAGGGACUCUUGCCGUAAAACCCCCCAAUUUUCCAAAGGUUGACCUCGGAUCAGGUAGGAAUACCCGCUGAACUUA
rnacentral:rRNA from 1 species